CUCAGGGCUGAUGGCGGCCGUGACGUUGGACGAGUCUGGGGGUGGCCUCCAGGCACCCGGAGGAGGGAUCAGCCUCGUCUGCAAGGCCUCUGGAUUCACCUUCAGCAGUUUCCAGAUGGACUGGGUGCGACAGGUGCCUGGCAAGGGGCUGGAAUACGUCGGAGGUAUUGACAGUGCUGGUACUGGCACAUGGUACGCGCCGGCGGUGAAGGGCCGUGCCACCAUCUCGAGGGACAACGGGCAGAGCACAGUGAGGCUGCAGCUGAACAACCUCAGGGCUGAGGACACCGCCACCUACUGCUGUGCAAAAUGUGCUGGUAGUGCUGGUGGUUGUUGUAAUGCUUACGCCAUUGGUGUUGGUUUUAGUGGUUGUUUUAGUUUUAGCCGAGAUUGAGAGAUCAGGGACAAG